AACUCGGCCAUUUAGAGGAAGUAAAAGUCGUAACAAGGUUUCCGUAGGUGAACCUGCGGAAGGAUCAUUAAUGAAUCACAAGUCGGUCCUCUGUGCUGGUGGCAACACAUGUGCACGUCGAUCGCAAAUCCACACACCUGUGCACCUUUGACUUUGAGAUCCGCCUGUUGGCAGCUGGUUGGCCUUGUGCUGGCCGGGGUCUCAGAGUAAUUUUUACACACUCUGAAUGUAAUGGAAUGUCUUGUGCUUAACACGCAUAAAUACAACUUUCAACAACGGAUCUCUUGGCUCUCGCACCGAUGAAGAACGCAGCGAAAUGCGAUAAGUAAUGUGAAUUGCAGAAUUCAGUGAAUCAUCGAAUCUUUGAACGCACCUUGCACCUUUUGGUAUUCCGGAAGGUACACCCGUUUGAGUGUCAUUGUAAUCUCACUCCUUUGACUUUUUUGUCGAGGGAUGUGGACUUGGACUCUGUCGUGCUACUACGACUGGUCUGAAAUGCCUGAGUGCACCCUGCUGUUGCAGCGUCUUCAGUGUGAUAAGCAUCUUCACUGGACAAAGUUCCUUUGGGACACGUGGCAUUGUGGGCUCUGUGCUGACAAACCGUCCUCGGACAGCUUUGACAAUUUGACCUCAAAUCGGGUGGGAUUACCCGCUGAACUUAAGCAUAUCAAUAAGCGGAGGAAAAGAAACUAACAAGGAUUCCCCUAGUAAC
rnacentral:rRNA from 1 species